UUAGUUAUACAGGGUGUUUGGCGCAUGGACCGACAAAAAUUUUUGGGGGAUUCGUGAGGCCAUGUACUAGUUUUCACUCAUAGACCCAAUGUCCUAUAUGUCACUGUAUUCGAGAUACGAUUUUUUUUGUUUGUUUUUAAAAAUUACCGGAACUAUCACCUUUAAAACGCUAUAACUUUUCAGUCUGUUGUCGAAUUUACACCAAAUCACUUUCAUUGCGUUCUCUGAUGUAUUAUUAUUCCAAAUAAAACAUAAAUUCAUAGCACUAGAUGGAAAAAAAAUACUUGUUGAGCUUCCAAACUCUUAAAAAUGAAAAAACGUAUGAAAAAUGUCAAAUUCAAAAUUAAUUAUAAAAAAAAGUAAAAGCUUUUAUGAACUUCGUUUAAUAAAAAAAAAUUGCCUACUUAAUACCCUUUCCAACGAUAUGCCACAUGGGUGUGAAAUCAUUAAUAAUGUCGUCAAAAUCAGAGCAGGAACGAACACGCACUCUAACGUCUCUAACAACGAACCCGUUUGAUAGAACAAUGGUAAGCAGGUAAUUGGCAGGUAAACUGCCUGUCUCUUUCUUACGCAUGAAAAAUAUCUCUUGUCUUUGUCUAUCAUUGGGUUGGAGUUUGUUAUGUGAUCCUUGUUUAGUCGAGAUUUGACUAUCUCUGCUAUCGGAAGUGUCCGUGUAUUUCACGUUUUCCUAUUUCGUUGUUUUUUGUUAAAGUUUGUUUUUGUUAAGUUUUGUUUGUUGAACUUUUCUGUUAAACUGUUGGUGUAUUCACCGUGCUUGUUACAAUGCCUAACUUCAGCAACGAAGAGUAUGCUGACAUGUUGUUGGCAUAUGGCAGCGCUAAUUGUAACGCUCGUGAAGCGCGUAGAAUUUACCAGCAGCGUUAUCCUAACCGGCGUAUACCACACCACGAGACGUUUGCUACAACCUAUCGACGUCUGAGGGAGACUGGAAACAUAAAUUUCCAAGAGCCUCGCGUUAAUGUGAGGCAACAUAAUGUUGUAAUUGAUGAAAGCAUUUUGCAAGCUUUUGAUGAGGAUCCAACGACAAGUAUUCGAGUUGUAGCUGAAAGACUUCACUUGUCGGUUUGGAAAGUUUGGUCAGUUCUUCGGGAAAAUGGAAAGCAUGCGUAUCACUACACUUCUGUUCAAGGUCUCAUAGAUGAUGAUCACAGGAGACGGCUCGAUUUUUGCCGAUUUAUGAUGCAUACGGACGUAGAUGAUACAAAUUUUUUAAAAAGAAUUUUGUGGACUGAUGAAUCCAAUUUUAAUCACGAGGGAAUUGUGAAUCUCCACAACCUUCACCAUUGGGCGCAAAAAAGACAAAAUCCCCGCAAGAAAAGACAAAGUUCCUUUCAAACUAAGUUUAGUGUAAACGUUUGGGCGGGGUUAUUGGAAGACACCUGAUCGGUCCACAUUUCUUACCAGAGCGCCUGACCGGAGAAAAUUAUUUGAAUUUUUUACUCGAAGAUUUACCUGAAUUGGUAUUACCAGUAUUAGAUGGAGAACCAAUUAUUUUCCAAAAUGAUGGCUGUCCAGCACAUUACCAGCGAGACGUGCGAGAACAUUUGGACAACUGUUUUCCAAAUUCAUGGAUCGGAAGAGGCGGCCCAAUUCCUUGGCCUGCACGUUCACCAGAC